rnacentral:rRNA from 1 species
CGAGAAGACCCUAUGGAGCUUUAGGCACUAAGACUGAUCAUGUAAAAAACCUCUUAUAAAAGAAUAUAACUUUGUGAAAGCAGUUUAAUUGCCUUUGGUUGGGGCGACCGAGG